rnacentral:rRNA from 1 species
GACGAACGCUGGCGGCGUGCUUAACACAUGCAAGUCGAACGGUAAGGCCCUUCGGGUACACGAGUGGCGAACGGGUGAGUAACACGUGGUGAUCUGCCCUGCACUUCGGGAUAAGCCUGGGAAACUGGGUCUAAUACCGGAUAGGACCAUGGACUUCACGGUUUGUGGUGGAAAGCUUUUGCGGUGUGGGAUGGGCCCGCCGCCUAUCAGCUUGUUGGUGGGGUAAUGGCCUACCAAGGCGACGACGGGUAGCCGGCCUGAGAGGGUGUCCGGCCACACUGGGACUGAGAUACGGCCCAGACUCCUACGGGAGGCAGCAGUGGGGAAUAUUGCACAAUGGGCGCAAGCCUGAUGCAGCGACGCCGCGUGAGGGAUGAC